UACGGGGGGGGCAAGCGUUGUUCGGAAUUACUGGGCGUAAAGGGCUCGUAGGCGGCCGACUAAGUCAGACGUGAAAUCCCUCGGCUUAACCGGGGAACUGCGUCUGAUACUGGAUGGCUUGAGGUUGGGAGAGGGAUGCGGAAUUCCAGGUGUAGCGGUGAAAUGCGUAGAUAUCUGGAGGAACACCGGUGGCGAAGGCGGCAUCCUGGACCAAUUCUGACGCUGAGGAGCGAAAGCCAGGGGAGCAAACGGG
rnacentral:rRNA from 1 species